rnacentral:rRNA from 1 species
CCUACGGGUGGCAGCAGUGAGGAAUAUUGGUCAAUGGGCGCGAGCCUGAACCAGCCAAGUAGCGUGAAGGAUGACUGCCCUACGGGUUGUAAACUUCUUUUAUAUGGGAAUAAAAUGUUCCACGUGUGGGAUUUUGUAUGUACCAUAUGAAUAAGGAUCGGCUAACUCCGUGCCAGCAGCCGCGGUAAUACGGAGGAUCCGAGUGUUAUCCGGAUUUAUUGGGUUUAAAGGGAGCGUAGGUGGAUUGUUAAGUCAGUUGUGAAAGUUUGCGGCUCAACCGUAAAAUUGCAGUUGAAACUGGCAGUCUUGAGUACAGUAGAGGUGGGCGGAAUUCGUGGUGUAGCGGUGAAAUGCGUAGAUAUCACGAAGAACUCCGAUUGCGAAGGCAGCUCACUGGACUGCAACUGACACUGAGGCUCGAAAGUGUGGGUAGCAAACAGGAUUAGAUACCCUAGUAGUC